rnacentral:tRNA from 1 species
GGAGAGGUGCCGGAGUGGCUGAACGGGCAUGAUUGGAAAUCAUGUGGCGGGGCAACUCGCUCGGGGGUUCGAAUCCCCCUCUCUCCU